AAAGAUUUGUAUUCCAAGUGUGUUCUUGGUUCUUUGCGAAGGGACUCAUAAAGUUAUUUAGCUCUGUGAAUGCAAGUAUUUAGGACCAGAUCCAAGAUCAAGAAAAUAGGAUUGGAAACCAACAGGACAAGACACAGAUAACAUAUAUUAUCCACGAGACAUAAGCAUGAGAGUGAUCCACAGCACACUACUAAUGCAGCGAAAUCAUAUUUGACAAGAAAAACAGCUGAUAAAGCACCA